rnacentral:piRNA from 1 species
UGGCCUCCAUAGACAGUGUUCCCACAAC